UACAGUCGCCAAGCUCAGGCGAAUAGAGGUCGGGCACUUGAAUCGCCUAUGAUACUAUCGCUAUCGUGGCUUAAAACGGUUAAGCCGUCAAGCUAACUUGUACUAAAGUGUAAGUACCUGCAACUAUUCUAGGAAGGUAAAUCAUCGUGGAAUCCUACCGUAUCGGAAUUGCAAUUACCGCUCCAAGUUUUCUCCUUUCCGAACGCCACCUAUGGAUCCGUGGGUCUCUGCUCCUUCCCGCAUCGUUCGCUGCUUUACGAAGCCCCUCAACUUUUAUUCGUAUCUAGGCCUCUAAGGGUUUAUCCAGUUGGAAAAUUUGACGGACGACUUAGGUACUCGUCCGUUCUCUGUUGGACCGCUUGACUUUGUAGAAUCAUCGGUCUCCUUUUCUUUCGUUUUCGCUAAGGGCAUCAUCGCUGCUCGCUUUACCCUCGUCGGAUUUGGCACUUUUGCCCCAACACCCUCUCGUUAUGUUCGCAACACGACGAUCCGCUUCGCCAACUCACAGCGUGGGAUCUACCGAUUUCAGGUCAUCGGCUUUCGUAGUGAUCGAAUACGAGACUGGGCUCAUCGUACCCCGUGCACCUUAGGGCACACUUAGUCGUUCCUGGUGGAACGUUCCGAUUUAUGAGGACCCACUGGCUAUCGCUUCAUCAUGGUACUCCCUUUCCACUUUUCUUGGGGGUCACCCAUCACUUUAUCUUGCACUUUGGCACGACUCGAGGGUUCGUCACCCUCCCCUUUCACUAGAGACUGGCGCACGGACAACUUCUUACUCGGCCGCUGAGUAUCCGUCACCGAACCAAUUCCCUUGCCUUGGGUGGCCUCGGCAUCGCUUUCGCUCAGAAUUAUCCCGCUAACAGUGACGAAUACCUGGGCUUGGACCCACUAGAUAGGUACUGGUCCUACUUCGAACCUACUUUGAUUCGUCUCCAGGCUUGGCUGACUACAACUUCUUAGUCGCCUACUCAACACCAAUCCCCACUUUACGGUGAGCUUGGGUCUCGAUCGACCAAGAGGGGCUUUAGGCAACUCCGCGUCGUCAACUGACCUGUAGAUCCCCAUUUCGUGACAAAGCCACGCCCGACGCGCUCGCCAUGGUUUAGCUCCGUUUGAGACUUAUGAUCUAUACUGGGUUUUUAUUGUCCCCAGUUCCAGCCGGUCACUCUGCUACCCCCUAUUCGAAGUAGCAGCUCUCCCUUUGUCGGGCCUAGUGGUCGAUUCCGGGGAUUUACUGGCGAGUCACUAUUUCCUCCACCCCCACGUUUCUGUCGGUCCUCCAAACGGAUCUUCGUCGGUGGGAAAUUUCUCACGCAUUAUCGAGUGACUAGCUCGCGGGAACGCGACUUCUACUUGCCCCGAUUCGCUAGACGGCUUCGACACCCUACAGUUUUACGUAGCCAUCCCCUCGCAAGGCGGAAUCUCCCUUCGUUGGCGCUUUCGCCUCCAGGCUUGGCUGACUACAACUUCUUAGUCGCCUACUCAACACCAAUCCCCACUUUACGGUGAGCUUGGGUCUCGAUCGACCAAGAGGGGCUUUACGCAACUCCGCGUCGUCAACUGACCUGUAGAUCCCCAUUUCGUGACAAAGCCACGCCCGACGCGCUCGCCAUGGUUUAGCUCCGUUUGAGACUUAUGAUCUAUACUGGGUUUUUAUUGUCCCCAGUUCCAGCCGGUCACUCUGCUACCCCCUAUUCGAAGUAGCAGCUCUCCCUUUGUCGGGCCUAGUGGUCGAUUCCGGGGAUUUACUGGCGAGUCACUAUUUCCUCCACCCCCACGUUUCUGUCGGUCCUCCAAACGGAUCUUCGUCGGUGGGAAAUUUCUCACGCAUUAUCGAGUGACUAGCUCGCGGGAACGCGACUUCUACUUGCCCCGAUUCGCUAGACGGCUUCGACACCUACAGUUUUACGUAGCCAUCCCCUCGCAAGGCGGAAUCUCCCUUCGUUGGCGCUUUCGCCCCCAGCUGCUUCGCCUUCGCUCUUACAGCCGAACUCAUUGCUUUUGUAACCACUCUUAGGUUACGGGGCUUUUGGGUUCCAAAGGAGGCGUUCCAAGCAGGUGCCUCCCACUCAGUCCCGGAUUCUAGUCCGGCUUUCCGCAUCAGCUACCUGUUGUCCAGUUAUAAGGACAUGAUGGGGAACAACCAUGCCUCCCUGCCUCCUCCGAUCCAAUCGGCUUUCUACCAAUAUCCAAAUUCCUGUGUUCCACUGGGACGAAAAAGUCCCAUUCUUCCCCAUCUCUUUUACGGAGCUCGGCUCCAGGCUCAUGGUUCGCGACGUCGCGACUUCAUACUCGGGGCACCUGAUCGCUAACGAAGAGGUGCUCCGAGUAUGGUCCGCGAUGCCGCGACUUCAUACAUUGACUACGGUAUGAGGGUCCUUUUCGAGCUUGCUGGAAGUUGUUUUCCCAUGGACAUGGGCUUUGGCUGUGUCCACCCAUCCAUCUCUUAUGGAUCCCCGCGCUCUGUUGAGAGAGAUUCCUUGAGCCGUUUUAUCGGGGCAUUGCAGCCCUCUUCCCCACGGGGGAGUGUUUUCCCCCGGCAUCACUGGUCCGGGCCCGCUGACAAAUGGUUUUUGUGUCCAGAGGCGUUUCAGCAUUCUGGUACAUACCCCCGACUGCGGACGGGUCACGGCCUUCCAGUUCCUUCAACCACUUGACUACUGUCCCUUCGGCCGCUGGCUUCGGGGCCACUUGCCGCCGGCAUUGAUAUUGCCAGGAUUCCAUCGCUUUAAGGAACAGCCCAUUCAAGGCUGGGCGUGCUUUCCGCAUUGCUAGACCCGUGACAGAGCCUCUCUCCGAGCCACUUUAUCUGUACAGACACUUCUACGCCUGAUGGACGUGGACCUGUCUUUCUGGGAUACUUCGAAAUGACAAGGGACCCUAACCGAAACCCGGAAAGGACGCGUCGAAUCCACCUUCCGCUUCUUCCGGGGGAAGGCCCCCCCGGGCUCGGUAGUCACUCUAUGGUGAGACCUUCUCGAGUCUAAGAUUGGAACACAGUCUGGGCGCCCGGUU
rnacentral:rRNA from 1 species